AUGAACGCUGGCGGCGUGGAUAAGGCAUGCAAGUCGGACGAUUUCCUUUUUUUGAAGAAGAUGCGAUUACAUCAAGUCAACUGAUAUUUUGGAGAUAGUGGCGAACGAGCUAGUAACACCUUGGUACGUACCCAAAAGUUUGGUAUAGCUCGCCGAAAGGCGGGGUAAUCCCAAAUAAUCCCUCUAUCUAUCGGAUAGAAGGGUAAAGUCGCAAGACGCUUUUUGGAGCGGCCUAGGACCGAUCAGUUAGUUGGUGAGGUAAUGGCUCACCAAGACGAUGACCGGUAGGGG
rnacentral:rRNA from 1 species